rnacentral:piRNA from 1 species
UAUCAGAAUCGCUGCCGUCCACUACAGGU